rnacentral:rRNA from 1 species
UACGGGGGGGGGCAAGCGUUGUUCGGAAUUACUGGGCGUAAAGGGCACGUAGGCGGCCAACUAAGUCACACGUGAAAUCCCCAGGCUUAACCUGGGAACUGCGUGUGAUACUGGAUGGCUUGAAUUCGGGAGAGGGAUGCAGAAUUCCAGGUGUAGCGGUGAAAUGCGUAGAUAUCUGGAGGAAUACCGGUGGCGAAGGCAGCCCCCUGGGUCAAGAUUGACGCUCAUGCACGAAAGCGUGGGGAGCAAACGAGG